AUUGAACGCUGGCGGCAGGCCUAACACAUGCAAGUCGAGCGGAUGAAGGGAGCUUGCUCCUGGAUUCAGCGGCGGACGGGUGAGUAAUGCCUAGGAAUCUGCCUGGUAGUGGGGGAUAACGUCCGGAAACGGGCGCUAAUACCGCAUACGUCCUGAGGGAGAAAGUGGGGGAUCUUCGGACCUCACGCUAUCAGAUGAGCCUCGGUCGGAUUAGCUAGUUGGUGGGGUAAAGGCCUACCAAGGCGACGAUCCGUAACUGGUCUGAGAGGAUGAUCAGUCACACUGGAACUGAGACACGGUCCAGACUCCUACGGGAGGCAGCAGUGGGGAAUAUUGGACAAUGGGCGAAAGCCUGAUCCAGCCAUGCCGCGUGUGUGAAGAAGGUCUUCGGAUUGUAAAGCACUUUAAGUUGGGAGGAAGGGCAGUAAGUUAAUACCUUGCUGUUUUGACGUUACCAACAGAAUAAGCACCGGCUAACUUCGUG
rnacentral:rRNA from 1 species